GUGCCUUCCCAGAACAUAUUCUAAAACUGGAAUAAUGUAGAGUAGAUGAGCAAAAUCCCUGUAUGACCAUGAUACAUAAACACAAGAAGUGCUCUGUAUUUUC